UAUUUAUAUUGUAGUGAUGAUGCACUAUGUACAAAUCUAAAAUAAAAUUCUGUUCUGUUCUUUACAAAGUUUUAUAUCUUAUGUUUUAAUUAUUUUUAUUCUAUCAUACUAGACAAUUUGAAUAAGUCUAAUAAUCUAAUGUCAAAAUGCAAUAGAUUUCACUUAUCAAAAUGGUUUUAAAACACAAAAUUUACUUAAAUACUAAGAUGACAUAUUCAAAGAGAAAAUUAAAAUGAGGUGUUAACAGACCAGACUUCAAAAUUGCAUUUGAUAUAGAUUUUAAUCAUAUCUUUUCCGAUCCUAAACCAUUUUAUUCUUAUUAUAACAUAUUAAAUUUGCUUCAAUUGUUUUCUUUCUAAAUGUUGUGUAGCUUGAUAAUCUACCCUCAUGAUACCAGUGCCAGUUGUAUGUAUAUUUUAAGUAAUGUUUUCCAUGUUGUUGUCAGCAUUUAUAGAACAGUUGUUGUAUAAUUAGUUAGAAGAUGGAUAGACACGUGACUUCUACACAAGGGGUAAUGGGAUGUGAGAGAAAAAUGGCUUUUUACGUAGAUAUAUCUUAUUGAAUGAAUGAAAACAAAACAAUUGGGUGUCUUUCAUAGGAAGGGCUAAACAUAGUAUGGGAUGGUUGAUUGCAGAAGACAAUAUUUAGCGAGAGUCCAGCCUUUUAUAUUUUGGCGAACAUAAAUCAAUCCGUUGAUUGGAUGUGGCAAGAAUUUUCCAUAUUUCCAAGUUAGGAGAGGCUAAAUGGGUUCUGUUUGAAAAGAUCCAGCAUUUUUGAAAAGCAAUUAACAGAUGCGAAACAAUGUGUCUCUGUGAAAAGGGCAGGCUAAAGGUUUCAACAGCACCGGCCGAAAAAGUGGAGAUAUAAUUUCAGCAUUGAACAAGGGCAGGGCAAUAUGUAUAUAUACAUGUGUAGCGUUGUCAGACUAUAUGGAUAGUCGGGCCUCGGUGACAAAAAUGAUGAAAUAACAUUGUGUUUUUUCAGUGUCUUAACAUUCAGAAGAUUCAUUUUAUUUUAAAAUGUCUUUUUACAAUAUUUUUUUUACAAACUUUCCAUGGUAAAGUAAGUGCAAUUUAGCAUUGGUAAGAUAUUUACUUGAAGGAUUGAUUUUCAGAACAGAAAUGCAAAUACAAUGUAUAUAAAUAAUUAUUCGUGUAAAAUGUAUUGCAAUUUUGAAUUAUAAUAUGAAUUUAGAUAGUUUCAUACAACUUUAUUCUUGGUAGAGGCUGAGCUAACUUGUAAGAAUAUUUAAUGGAAUCUGACUGAAAGUAAAAAAAAUAUUUAUCAUUAGUGGGUGGGGUAAUGUUUUAUACCAGUCUAAAUGAUGAUGUAUAGAUUAUGCAGUGUUGCGACUUUUUGAAUGUAAUCAACAUUGCUUGAAGUGUUUUUGAUUAAAUAAAGCAUGUUUGCGUA